rnacentral:rRNA from 1 species
AGAUUGAACGCUGGCGGCGUGCUUAACACAUGCAAGUCGAGCGGUAACAGGUGUAGCAAUACAUGCUGACGAGCGGCGAACGGGUGAGUAAUGCUUCGGAAUCUACCCAAUGGCGGGGAAUAACUAGCCGAAAGGUUAGCUAAUACCGCAUAAGCCCUACGGGGGAAAGCAGGGGAUCGUAAGACCUUGCACCGAUGGAUGAGCCGAAGUCGGAUUAGCUAGUUGGUAGGGUAACGGCCUACCAAGGCGACGAUCCGUAGCUGGUCUGAGAGGACGACCAGCCACACUGGGACUGAGACACGGCCCAGACUCCUACGGGAGGCAGCAGUGGGGGAAUAUUGGACAAUGGGGAAACCCUGAUCCAGCGACGCCGCGUGUGUGAAGAAGGCCUGCGGUUGUAAAGCUCUUUGUGCGGGAAGAUAAUGACGGUACCGCAAAGAAUAAGCCCGGCUAACUUCGUGCCAGCAGCCGCGGUAA